GGAAAUGGACUGUUGUGCUUGAAGGCUAGAAGCUUAUAGGCUGUGCAAUAGCUUUCAUCCAUAACAGGGAAGACUAAAAGGGAACAUUUUCCUAAUAUUUUGUGAAGAAAUGACAAAAUCUGAGAAUCUCCCCACCACCACCACAUCAGUUCUUUUUACAGGUUUAACCUCUAACAAAUGGACUGCUUUAAAAAUGACAAAAUGCCUUCAUACCUAUGGAGAAAAAAAUGAUUUCCACAGAUCCCAACUGAAUCCACAUGAGGUAGCAAUUAAGGCAGAUCUGUGUAAAAGUACCAUACAGAGAGACCAUAAUGAUAAAAUAUGAUAGACUCUACAGCCAGAUCCUGUUGCUCACUGGCAACAUAAGAGGUACAUGGAUCCUCCCACUUGAUUUUCUUGGGGACAGAGGUUGAAAUAAAGGCUUGCUGGAUUAUGGGGGAAAUGAAUGGGCCUAAAUAUCUGCUGCCUUUUAUUGAAGAGAAAUCUGUUUUACACACAGUCAUUUGGGCCCUACCUACCCUCUUGUUGGGAAGAAGUAAAAUGAAUGAAGGUUACUUUUGAAUGUCAGAACAGUAGUUGGUUCAUAAAUCUGAACUUUGUAUUGCAUUUUAAUGGACCUAGAAAUCAAAAGCAAGAUUAAUUUCUGAAUGGAAUGUUUACAGGCUCUAUCUGCAUUCAGAAAACUAAGAACUCAAAUUGGUUUGAAGGUAGAGGUAGGGGUGGGAAUAAUUGUUCUUUUUUCUCUCUUUGACUCCUCUUAUCCACUGUAAGGCUGUAACAUGA